rnacentral:snRNA from 1 species
GUGCUCGCUUCGGCAGCACAUAUUAAAAAAAAAAAAAAUGGAACAAUACAGAGAAGAUGCUCAUGGCCCCCGUGCAAGGAUGACAUGCAAAUUCAUGAAGCAUUCCAUAUUAAA